rnacentral:rRNA from 1 species
AACGAACGUUAGCGGCGCGCCUAACACAUGCAAGUCGAGCGAGAAAGGGGCAACCCCGGUAAAGCGGCGCACGGGUGAGUAACACGUAGGUAAUCUACCCUCGGGUGGAGGAUAACUUUCCGAAAGGAAGGCUAAUACUGCAUGAGACCACGGUUCCGGAAGGGAUUGAGGUCAAAGCCGGCCACUGUACACAAGCUGGCGCCUGAGGAUGAGCCUGCGGCCCAUCAGCUAGUUGGUAGGGUAAUGGCCUACCAAGGCGAAGACGGGUAGCUGGUCUGAGAGGAUGAUCAGCCACACUGGAACUGAGACACGGUCCAGACUCCUACGGGAGGCAGCAGUGGGGAAUCUUGCGCAAUGGGCGAAAGCCUGACGCAGCGACGCCGCGUGAGUGAUGAAGGCC